rfam:Trichosporon asahii var. asahii CBS 8904 unplaced genomic scaffold scaffold00193, whole genome shotgun sequence.
UCCGCCAUGGCGAAAUGGUAGACGCGUUGCAUUUAAGCUGCAAAUCCAUUCUGGAGUGCAGGUUCGAGUCCUGUUGGCGGAG